rnacentral:rRNA from 1 species
UAAUAUUUAUCUUACUAAUUUUUUUGUUUUUGUUUCGGUGAAAUAACAUUUUAUUUAGUAUUUUUUAAUGAAAUAUAUAUUUUAGUUAUAGUAGAUUAGUACUGUGAAGGGUUGUUGAAAUAAUUGAAAUUGAAUUUUAUUUAAGUAAAUUUUGUUUAUUGUACCUUUUGUAUCAGGGUUAAUUAAAAUUUUUAAUUUAUUUUUUUGUCCCGAUUUUAGUAGAGCUAUGUUAUUAAUUUAUUUAAUGUUGAAUAAUUAUUGAUAAUAAUUCAUAGAUGGGAUAUCUAAUUCGUUUCUGAAGGUAUCUGGUUUCUUAAUAAAUAAAUUUAAUUUAUUCUUUAUGUGAAAAUACUUAAUUUUUAAGUUUUUUUAUUUAAAGUUAUAUAUUAUAGGGGAUAAGCUCUAUAUUAUUUCUAUAAUAUUUAUUUAUUUUUAUUUAUUGUAGGGUUGUAAUUAUCCAUCAUUAUUAAGUGUGUUAUAAUUUAAGAUUUAAAAUUAUUUGAUUUAUUUUUAUUUAGAAUUUUAUUAAGAUUAAAUGAUGAAUUUUUUAUUUUUUGUAAUAAUGAUUAAAUUAGUAUAUUUAUAUGUUUAAAUUAAUAUAAUGACAGGAUAAAAUAAGGAAUUCGGCAAAUUUAAGAUUCUCGCCUGUUUAUCAAAAACAUGUCCUCUUGAUUUAUUAUGAGAGGUUUGACCUGCCCAGUGAUAUAUUUAACGGCCGCGGUAUUUUGACCGUGCAAAGGUAGCAUAAUCAUUAGUCUUUUAAAAGGGGGCUGGAAUGAAGGGUUUGACGAGGAAUCUACUGUCUCAUUUUAUUUGUAUUUAGAAUUUAACUUUUUAGUCAAAAAGCUAAAAUUUUGUUGGAAGACGAGAAGACCCUAUAGAGCUUUAUACUUAUUCAAUUAUUUAUUUUAUAUUAUUUUUAAUUAUUUUGAUUAAGUAUUUUGUUGGGGUGACAAAAAUAUAUAAUUAACUUUUUUAUAUUAAUUACAUUGAUUUAUGAAUAUUAGAUCCAUUAUUAUUGAUUGUUAGAUUAAGUUACCUUAGGGAUAACAGCGUAAUCCUUUCCCAGAGUUCAUAUUUACGGAGGGGCUUGCGACCUCGAUGUUGGAUUAAGAUAAUUAUUAGGUGUAGCCGCUUAAUUAAUAGGUCUGUUCGACCUUUAAAUUCUUACAUGAUCUGAGUUCAGACCGGUUUAAGCCAGGUCGGUUUCUAUCUCCAAUUUUAUUUUUGUUCUUAGUACGAAAGGACCAGAACGAGAAAAUAAUUUUUUAUUUUUGAUUAACA